rfam:Enterococcus haemoperoxidus ATCC BAA-382 genomic scaffold acvJN-supercont1.2, whole genome shotgun sequence.
AAAUAGAUUUGUUAGGUGAGGCUCCUAUACAAACACAGGCUACUGCCCAAAAACAUCGAGAGAUGCCAAUGGGUAGAACAGGGAUUGUCGAUUACAAGGCUUUUCAUAAGGUAGCUAAAAGCUCUGCUUUUUACGUUGUAUAGUGCCAAAACUCAACGACUAGAUCAUGCA